rnacentral:misc_RNA from 1 species
AACUUUCGGCAACGGAUCACUUGUGCUGCUCGAACUUUCGGCAAUGGAUCUCUUGGUUCUGGCAUCGAUGAAGAACGCAGCGAAAUGCGAUAAGUAAUGUGAAUUGCAGAAUUCAGUGAAUCAUCGAAUCUUUGAACGCACAUUGCGCCCCUUGGUAUUCCGAGGGGCAUGCCUGUUCGAGCGUCAUUAUAACCACUCAAGCCUUGGCUUGGUCUUGGGGUUCGCGGUUUCGCGGCCCUUAAAAUCAGUGGCGGUGCCGUUUGGCUCUAAGCGUAGUAAUUCUCUCGCUAUAGGGUCCAGGUGACCACCUGCCAGAACCCCCCAUUCUUUACGGUUGACCUCGGAUCAGGUAGGGAUACCCGCUGAACUUAAGCAUAUCAAUAAGCGGAGGCU